rnacentral:ncRNA from 2 species
ACGGCGGCCGCCUCCAGGUGUCACAGUUCGAAUGACAAAACGCGAGGGUGAUGCGGUAAUUCCGGUGUGAUUCCGGAGCGGUCGCGCCACUGUGUUCCAUGCACCGGGUCAUCGGGUGCCGGAAAGCCAGACACCGGCACCUUCGCGCCGACCACU